rnacentral:snoRNA from 1 species
CGGCGCCGUGACGACCCCCCCGUGGCCUCGAGUCUCGCGACCGUGAGAGCGCCCGACAUGCACUACCAGCCGAGCGCCG